rnacentral:rRNA from 1 species
UGCAGUCGAGCGACAGAUAAGGAGCUUGCUCCUUUGACGUUAGCGGCGGACGGGUGAGUAACACGUGGGUAACCUACCUAUAAGACUGGAAUAACUCCGGGAAACCGGGGCUAAUGCCGGAUAACAUAUAGAACCGCAUGGUUCUAUAGUGAAAGAUGGUUUUGCUAUCACUUAUAGAUGGACCCGCGCCGUAUUAGCUAGUUGGUAAGGUAACGGCUUACCAAGGCGACGAUACGUAGCCGACCUGAGAGGGUGAUCGGCCACACUGGAACUGAGACACGGUCCAGACUCCUACGGGAGGCAGCAGUAGGGAAUCUUCCGCAAUGGGCGAAAGCCUGACGGAGCAACGCCGCGUGAGUGAUGAAGGGUUUCGGCUCGUAAAACUCUGUUAUUAGGGAAGAACAUAUGUGUAAGUAACUGUGCACAUCUUGACGGUACCUAAUCAGAAAGCCACGGCUAACUACGUGCCAGCAGCCGCGGUAAUACGUAGGUGGCAAGCGUUAUCCGGAAUUAUUGGGCGUAAAGCGCGCGUAGGCGGUUUCUUAAGUCUGAUGUGAAAGCCCACGGCUCAACCGUGGAGGGUCAUUGGAAACUGGGAAACUUGAGUGCAGAAGAGGAAAGUGGAAUUCCAUGUGUAGCGGUGAAAUGCGCAGAGAUAUGGAGGAACACCAGUGGCGAAGGCGACUUUCUGGUCUGUAACUGACGCUGAUGUGCGAAAGCGUGGGGAUCAAACAGGAUUAGAUACCCUGGUAGUCCACGCCGUAAACGAUGAGUGCUAAGUGUUAGGGGGUUUCCGCCCCUUAGUGCUGCAGCUAACGCAUUAAGCACUCCGCCUGGGGAGUACGACCGCANGNUGAAACUCAAAGGAAUUGACGGGGACCCGCACAAGCGGUGGA